rnacentral:lncRNA from 1 species
UGAUAGGGGCAAAAAUGGCGAUGUGACACGUCAUGACAGCAUCCCCCUGAGCGACACACUGCCCGAGGCUCGCCAUACCCUGCAGUAGCUCAGCCUCCCACGCAACCCCAGUGGCAAUGUCAGGUAACAUCAAACCACCUCUAUAAAUACCCCUAAGUCCUAAGCAAAAGGGGAGAGGAACUCACUCAGACACAAAACACUCAGAGGCUCUUCUUCUGCCUCAUCCACAAUCUCCUCCACAUCUUCCUCUAACUUGAUCGUCGGAGGGGUCGGGCCGAGCUCCCGGCCCGACCUGUGUGCAGGUGCGAGACGGUGUCGCCUCAUCCCGAAGCUGCGGCGGAGCUGCCUCCCGACCCGAACCACCGACCCGAACCGCCGACCCGAACCGCCGA